rnacentral:rRNA from 1 species
UACGAAGGGGGCUAGCGUUGCUCGGAAUCACUGGGCGUAAAGGGUGCGUAGGCGGGUCUUUAGGUCAGGGGUGAAAUCCUGGAGCUCAACUCCAGAACUGCCUUUGAUACUGAGGAUCUUGAGUUCGGGAGAGGUGAGUGGAACUGCGAGUGUAGAGGUGAAAUUCGUAGAUAUUCGCAAGAACACCAGUGGCGAAGGCGGCUCACUGGCCCGAUACUGACGCUGAGGCACGAAAGCGUGGGGAGCAAGCAGG